UACGUAGGGAGCAAGCGUUGUUCGGAUUUACUGGGCGUAAAGGGCUCGUAGGCGGCCAACUAAGUCAGACGUGAAAUCCCUCGGCUUAACCGGGGAACUGCAUCUGAUACUGGAUGGCUUGAGAUUGGGAGAGGGAUGCGGAAUUCCAGGUGUAGCGGUGAAAUGCGUAGAUAUCUGGAGGAACACCGGUGGCGAAGGCGGCAUCCUGGACCAACACUGACGCUGAGGAGCGAAAGCCAGGGGAGCAAACGGG
rnacentral:rRNA from 1 species